UAUCAAGGCUUCGUGGUGGUACACAUCAGAUUGCAAAUUUGAAGAUGAGCCCAUAAAGGGCUCCGGG
rnacentral:tRNA from 1 species